rnacentral:rRNA from 1 species
AUUGAACGCUAGCGGCAGGCCUAACACAUGCAAGUCGAGGGGUAGCAGGAUUAAGCUUGCUUAAUUGCUGACGACCGGCGCACGGGUGCGUAACGCGUAUGCAACCUACCUUAUACUGGGGUAUAGCCCGGAGAAAUUCGGAUUAAUCCCCCAUAGUACUAAUGAAUCGCAUGGUUUAUUAGUUAAAGCAUUGCGGUAUAAGAUGGGCAUGCGUCCUAUUAGCUAGAUGGUGAGGUAACGGCUCACCAUGGCAACGAUAGGUAGGGGGCCUGAGAGGGUGGUCCCCCACACUGGUACUGAGACACGGACCAGACUCCUACGGGAGGCAGCAGUGAGGAAUAUUGGUCAAUGGGCGCAAGCCUGAACCAACCAUGCCGCGUGCAGGAAGAAUGCCCUAUGGGUUGUAAACUGCUUUUAUUUGGGAAUAAACCUCUUUACGUGUAGAGAGCUGAAGGUACCAAAUGAAUAAGCACCGGCUAACUCCGUGCCAGCAGCCGCCGUAA